UAAAGGUAUUCCGGUAGACGAUGGGGAUGCGUUCCAUUAGAUAGUAGGCGGGGUAACGGCCCACCUAGUCUUCGAUGGAUAGGGGUUCUGAGAGGAAGGUCCCCCACAUUGGAACUGAGACACGGUCCAAACUCCUACGGGAGGCAGCAGUGAGGAAUACUGGUCAAUGGGCGAGAGCCUGAACCAGCCAAGUAGCGUGAAGGAUGACUGCCCUAUGGGUUGUAAACUUCUUUUAUAAAGGAAUAAAGUCGGGUAUGGAUACCCGUUUGCAUGUACUUUAUGAAUAAGGAUCGGCUAACUCCGUGCCAGCAGCCGCGGUAAUACGGAGGAUCCGAGCGUUAUCCGGAUUUAUUGGGUUUAAAGGGAGCGUAGAUGGAUGUUUAAGUCAGUUGUGAAAGUUUGCGGCUCAACCGUAAAAUUGCAGUUGAUACUGGAUAUCUUGAGUGCAGUUGAGGCAGGCGGAAUUCGUGGUGUAGCGGUGAAAUGCUUAGAUAUCACGAAGAACUCCGAUUGCGAAGGCAGCCUGCUAAGCUGCAACUGACAUUGAGGCUCGAAAGUGUGGGUAUCAAACAGGAUUAGAUACCCUGGUAGUCCACACGGUAAACGAUGAAUACUCGCUGUUUGCGAUAUACUGCAA
rnacentral:rRNA from 1 species